UGACUUUAUGAAAUAAUAACUCAACCCUUGUUACAUAUUUGUGGUAGGAAAUUUGGAUGACCAAAACAUAUAUCUUCUGUUCUUUGAGCUCUCUGCUAUUACUCAUGGAAUUCUUAUCUGAAGAUGAAAGAAAGCAUGACAUGAAUAAGAAGCUUUACGAUGCAUUGAUGAAACAAGAGAACGAUAAAGUUUUACAACUCUGUCGCGAACUGGAAGCGGGGCCAUUGCAUAUAUUAACCGUGCACGAUGACACAGUCCUCCAAGUGGCUGCCUACUCUAAACAAACAGCUUUGGUUCUCUGUUUACUGAAAGAGUUGGAAAUGCGAUUCCCUGAGUUUCCUGUAGAUGGACUAAAGCAUCGUAAUGGUUUGGGUAAUACCAUUCUUCAUGAAUAGCCACUUUUGACAGAGUUGAUUCAACUGCGAAGAUAAUAUUGGAUAGAGAACCUGAAUUACUUGGUAUGCGCAAGAAGAGUGGAGAGACUGCUCUAUGCCGUGCUGUUCGUUAUGGGAAAACAGAGAUGUUUGAUUUUCUUGAUGAACAAGUGAAUCGAUAUUUUGAUGUUAAUCAACGCGAGGCUUGUUAUUAUAAACUUGGUGGAGCCACAAUUCUUCAUGCUGCUGUACGCGCUAAGCACUUUGGUUUGGGCCUGUCGAUUGCUAAAAAGUACGAAUAUUUGGUAAAUGGACGAGAUGCAGAUGGAAUGACUGCUCUUCAACUUCUUGCAUGCAACCGACAAGCAUUUGAAAGUGGAGAGAAGAAUGGUUAUAUCCAGAGAUCCAUUUACACUCGUAAGAUACUCCAGCUGCUCCGCUCUGUAUGAUCUGAUUUUUUUUUCUACACAGCUAAAUGAAAGGAUGUGUUUUUAAAUGAAGAUCUCUCAACUGAACAUAAGGCUGCCGGUAAGGCUCCACACCACCAAAUCAUUGUAAUCCCACAAGUGAGGUUUGGAGAGGAUAGGGUGUAAGCAGAUAAAACUCCAUAUACCCUACAUAAAAAAGUUGGAACAUCGCCUUCUAUUUUUUGGGUAGCUUACAAGAUAUUCAUCACUUCAAAGGCAGAUCUGUAGGUUCAAAUGUUCCCCUUUCUUUUAGCUAAAACUGUUUAUACAUAUGCAAAAAAAAUUAAAAAUAAAUAAAUUAAAACGUUACAUGUAGUAAGACCAUGCUCACUGAUCAGCAACAUAAAAACCCAAUUGCAUUGUACUUUUUUCAAUCUAUUUCACCUCUGCAAGAAGCAAUCCAAUCAACUUCACUCAUCAAUUUUGUUUUUCUUUUUUUCUUUUUUCUUUUCCUUGAGAAGCUGAAAAAUGUUAUAGAGUGCCUUUGGUGGAGCGUAUGCGUAAGAAAAAACAGAGGUAUGAAUCAGUUUUGAAACUUGCCAAGUUCUUGAUAGCAAAGGAUACUUCUUGGGAGUAUUCGCAAUCUGCAGUAAAUCAGAUCAACCCUCGAUCCCACAAAUAUAGACUAAUGUUAGAUGUUUUAAAAAGCCAAGAAAAAGAGGAACAAGAUGGUGUUGCACAAGCAGGACAACCUGUUACAAAAAUAGCUGAGUCACCAUUGAUCUUGGCAACUAAAUCAGGUUGCACAGACAUUGUAGAUCAGAUACUGAAAACAUAUCCCCAAGCUGUGGAGUAUGUUGACAGUAAAGGUCGUAAUGUUUUGCACGUUGCGAUCAAGUACCGCCAGAUGCAAAUUUUCAACAUAGUUGAGAAAAUGGCAAUGCCAAUGAGGAGACUCAAGAGAAAAGUCACUCAUCAGGGAAAUACCAUACUUCAUAUGGUUGGUGUAAAACAUCAGGACAAUGAAAUUGCAGAUAUGAGAAGCCCUGCUUUGCUAUUGCAAGAGAAUUUGCUCUUGUUUGAGGUAAAACUCAAUAAUUGAUUCAACCUUAUAAGAUGAUGUACACUGCCAACAAUCUUUUUAAGUCAUUUAAGUUAUGUUUAUUUGUUAUUAAACUGUAUUGAAAAAUAUUAA